rnacentral:rRNA from 1 species
GACGAACGCUGGCGGCGUGCUUAACACAUGCAAGUCGAACGGAAAGGCCCUGCUUUUGUGGGGUGCUCGAGUGGCGAACGGGUGAGUAACACGUGAGUAACCUGCCCUUGACUUUGGGAUAACUUCAGGAAACUGGGGCUAAUACCGGAUAGGAGCUCCUGCUGCAUGGUGGGGGUUGGAAAGUUUCGGCGGUUGGGGAUGGACUCGCGGCUUAUCAGCUUGUUGGUGGGGUAGUGGCUUACCAAGGCUUUGACGGGUAGCCGGCCUGAGAGGGUGACCGGCCACAUUGGGACUGAGAUACGGCCCAGACUCCUACGGGAGGCAGCAGUGGGGAAUAUUGCACAAUGGGCGGAAGCCUGAUGCAGCAACGCCGCGUGCGGGAUGACGGCCUUCGGGUUGUAGACCGCUUUCGCCUGUGACGAAGCGUGAGUGACGGUAAUGGGUAAAGAAGCACCGGCUAACUACGU